rnacentral:lncRNA from 1 species
AAUAUUUCUAGUCAAAAGGGGAAUGGAAAUGAGAAAUUCCAAUAUGCAGAGAGAAGAGAUCUUAACCAAUUUUAAUGGAGGUAACUCGAAGGCCACAAGCUUUAAGCACGACGCCGAUACUACUGGCGGUAACGCCUUUGCCAAGCCCACUCACCACUCCUCCAGUCACCAAUACGUACUUCAUCUCCGAAACUAGAGCACAGGCUAGUCUGGAGAGAACGCACACCAACUGUUUGUGUUAAUGUCUGAUCGAAACUACAAAGCGACACCAAACUCUGGUUUCCAUUGACGGAUACGGAAAAAGCUGACUUCUUUUCGAGGAUCAAUUGUAUUCUACCACUAGUAAGCUCCCACGUGUCACACUCCCAAAUCGUAUGUGCAUAAUCAAGGAUUUUAUGCAAUUUUUAGCAGAGUGCAAAAAAAGGUAAAAAACCAUCUAAAGCUAAAUUUUAUCUGUAUUUUUAUAUUAUUUUUUAUAUAUUGUAUAGAUUAUCUUCUAACUCUUACAUAAAUGCACUUAAAAGCUAAAAAUAAACUCUUGAAACAAUAAUAAAACUUAGCAAGCAUAGUUACUCUUAAGAUUAAGAGUCUCAAAGACAUUGACUUUCUUGAGCUUAAUCCUUAGCAAACCAAGACUGAAGUAGUUUGAUGCAAAACAAAGUCCAACACAUGGAAAUGAAACAAAAAUAUGCAGAGAAAAGAACAGAGACUUUGAGAGAAGAGAGAAAGGUGAGAAAGGGAAGAGAGAACACACAUAACAUUUGUUCACCCAUGCUACGUCUGGGCCGAGUCACAGCUCGGAAUUCACUAGAAUAAGCAAGUUACAAGAGGGAAUCCCUCAGAGAAAGAGUCUCACACUUGAGAUCUCCUCUCUGUAUCUCCUCUGUUACACACUCAAGAGAAACACCAAAGCUUACACCUUUUAAUGGCUAUAUCUCUCUCUUGCUUUCUUUCUACAUUGUAUCUCUCUCUUAUUCACUCCCCUUAGACAACGCUCACAACAUAGCAACAUCUUAUAUAUGUGAGACCACCUUAGGUCUAGGGCUUCUCCAAAACCCUCUAAUUUGAAUUCACGUAGUGACAAACUGUCCUUUCUUGGCCACCAAUGAAAAAUUAAUCUAAUUUUUAAAAAGUUUUAGUGACGUUUCGUUUAAAAAUAUUAUUGAGGUUUUUAAAAAGUUUUAGUGUUAGUGAGGUUUAAGACUAGUUUUUAAAAAGUUUUAGUGAGGUUUCUUAAAGUUUAAGACUAAUUUUUAAAAAGUUUUAGAGAGGUUUUAUUUAAAAAUAUUAGUGAGGUUUUAAAAAGUUUAAGUGUUAGUGAGGUUUAAGACUAAUUUUUAAAAAGUUUUAGUGAGGUUUCUUAAAGUUUAAGACUAAUUUUUAAAAAUUUUAGUGAGGUUUCUUAAAGUUUAAGUGUUAAAUUUGUUUUAAAUUUUUGUGAAAAUCGUUAUUGUUUUUUAAAAAUGAGUUUAAGUGUUAAAUCUAUAUUACGUGAAAACAUAUGCCGAACUUCGAAUACCAAAACUUAUGGACCAAUUAAGGACAGGAUGCCUAGGGGCGGUUAGUUUUCGAACGUGUUUAAAAUUUAACACUUAAGGGGGUGUAUUCAAUUAAAGAUUGAGGAGGGUUUGGUGGAAUUUAGGAAAUUUUGGAUUUAGAGUGAUUUAAGUGAGUUUAUAGGAUUUUUUUGGUGGAAUUGUUAUUUUAUUUUUAAAAAGGAAAGAUAAUUUGUGAUUUGAUGAGUUUUUAAAGAGAUAAUAUAUAGGUGAUUUGGUGAGAUUUUUAGCACAAAAAAUAGAAAAAUUAGGAUUCUCUAAAAAAUUGCAGACCGUAGAAUCAAUAUCAAUGAACCAUUCACAUGCUUAAAAAUAAUUGGAAUCACCAUCAACAAGGCAAAUGGGGACUUUGAUUUUAGGAUCUCUUAUGUUAUUUUUGUUCAAGGGAUCGAGAUCGAGAGAGAUGAAGACGAGGAUGAAGAGAGGAGAUUGUUUCACUAGUUUAGUUUUGUUAGCCACAUGUUUUUUUUUGUUUUUUUUUUGUUUUUAAUCAAAUACCACCUCUAGAGGUGUGAUUGUUUAGUUGUUAUUUUUACACUAAAAAUGUAUCCAAAGUCUCAC